AAUGCUUUCAAGUGAAAUUGCUGAGGCAAUUCAGGGAGAUGAAAGGUAAUCGCCACCUGAGAGGAUAAAUAAUGCAUCGGGUGCAUGCCCCUGCUUUCUGAUGGGGCAUCCUGAAGGGUCAGAUCCCGUUGCCUGCAAUUUUCAUGCCAUACGCACUGAUAGCAAAUCUCCUCUCCUUCUGGCUGCCAAAACACGUGAGUGGAGAACACUGCUCAAUGCUGUUGGCACAGCUAGUUCAGGCACCUGCCCUGACGUAGCGUAACAGAAGAGAGAGGGGAAACCCCAAACCAGUGUCUUUCUGGAAGAGAAGAGCCAGCCACCCUGACCACAGUCCCCAGACCUCCUGAGCCAUCCUGCAGACCCGUGAAGAAGCACUGGAUAGCCCUGGGACGGGCCCAGCUGAAGACUGGGGUGGAGCAGACUUGCCUGGAGAAAUGAGGCCAGCCUAAAGCUUUGCAGUGGAUGUGAGCAGACCCUUCCCCCGGACUCAGGCUGUUCCAGGGCUGAGCAGAGAGCAUCCAGCAGAUCAAGCCCCCGGUAGCACCGUUCUCUCUCCAGGGGCUGCAGCACUCCAGGUCCUCAUGAGCUCCCACGAGGUCUUUGGGAGCUUCCCGUCUCCCGCUGCCAAAGCCAAGAAAGACGCGAUAGGUGGGAGGGUGAUGUUCAGGCUGUGCGGAGACAGGCUCAGGUGGGCUCAUCUUGUGAAUUCUAAUCAGGAAGCAAAAUAAUAUUUAAUGUGCAACACCCAUCCUAAUUGCUUUAUUAUGUUCAAAUGUCAAGGUUGAAUCUAGGAGUUUCUACUCCUGGUCAAGUGCUCUGGAGUGGAUGGAAGUGGUUAAAAUGUCAUCAAUGUACAGCUAGGAAUCACUAGUAAAAUCCAAGCUAUUCCAAGAUUUAUUGUUUUUAGUAGAGCUCGGUGGUCACAAUGCCAGCAUAGAAGCAAAGAGCUCAGCUCUCUCACGACUGGCCCAUAUCAGCCUUCUUCCCCCCUCUGGAUGAAAUCAGGUCAAGGGUGCAAAGACAGAUGAAGCGUUUCAUGCACGUGGCAUUGAGCUAAAAGGAGCCCCAGAAACAAGGGAGGUGAGGUUCCUUCGCAUCCAGGCAGAACAGGGGCUGGGGGGGUCAUGCAAGCGGGCCCCUGCGGCAUGUGGGGAAGUCCAAACCUCGCAAUCAAAGCCAGACCUCGUGGUGGGAGCUCUGCAGGUCAGGAUGUCAGCUCUGACACGGGACAGCGACUGCCUCCCGUGCACGCGCGCGCCGCGUCCAGAACCCACAGGGAGCCAGGAGCCAGCUGGGACGUUUCCUGGAGCUCAGAGCCCUUGACACCCCCUCUUCUUGGACGGGGCCGACCGUGCUGACAGGGGUGUAAUUGGCAAAAGCAUGACAUCACCCGGGGUCUGCAACUUUAAAAUAAAACAACAGCAGAUGAAAUCAAUCUUUGCUCCAGGAGAGCUGGCUGCUUGCAGCACUUCCCUUCAGGCAGCCGUGGCAGGAGGAGAGUUUUGCUAUUAAAUGUCCAAGAAGUUUCUAUCGGUGAAAACCGGAACACUGAAUUUGGCUUGGCCAUUAGCAUGGCAG